GGAUGUGAGGGUAAUCUGGCUGCGACAUCUGUCACCCCAUUGAUCACCAGGGUUGAUUCGGCUGAUCUGGCUGGCUAGGCAGGUGUCCCCUUCCUCCCUCACCGCUCCAUGUGUGUCCCUCCCAAAGCUGCACAUUCAGUGGAAAAGGACGACCAUCCCAGAUAGAAGGAGUGUACCGAUCUUCGGUCAAGGGUUGUUGAGAUUCUAUUAACUUUUUAACUUUUGCUCAGUCCUUGGCAAGGAUGACUGAAGGG
rnacentral:snRNA from 1 species